GUGAAACUGCGAAUGGCUCAUUAAAUCAGUUAUAGUUUAUUUGAUAGUACUUUACUACUUGGAUAACCGUGGUAAUUCUAGAGCUAAUACAUGCUACAAAUCCCGACUUCUGGAAGGGAUGUAUUUAUUAGAUUAAAAACCAAUCCGGGCAACCGGUUUUCUGGUGAUUCAUAGUAACUUUUCGAAUCGCAGGGCUUUACGCCGGCGAUGGUUCAUUCAAAUUUCUGCCCUAUCAACUUUCGAUGGUACGGUAUUGGCCUACCAUGGUUUUAACGGGUAACGGGGAAUUAGGGUUCGGUUCCGGAGAGGGAGCCUGAGAAAUGGCUACCACAUCCAAGGAAGGCAGCAGGCGCGCAAAUUACCCAAUCUCAAUUCGAGGAGGUAGUGACAAGAAUAACAAUCCAGGGCUCUUUGAGUCUUGGAAUUGGAAUGAGAACAAUUUAAAUCCCUUAACGAGGAACAAUUGGAGGCAAGUCUGGUGCCAGCAGCCGCGGUAAUUCCAGCUCCAAUAGCGUAUAUUAAAGUUGUUGCAGUUAAAAAAGCUCGUAGUCGAAUUUUGGGCUUGGCUGAACGGUCUGCCUCACGGUAUGUACUGUUCUGGUCGGGCCUUUCCUUCUGGCGAGCCAAGGUGCUCUUAACUGAGUGCUUUGGGGAACCAGGACUUUUACUUUGAAAAAAUUAGAGUGUUUAAAGCAAGCCUAUGCUUGAAUACAUUAGCAUGGAAUAAUAGAAUAGGACUUUGGUUCUAUUUUGUUGGUUUCUAGAACCAGGGUAAUGAUUAAUAGGGAUAGUUGGGGGCAUUAGUAUUUAAUUGUCAGAGGUGAAAUUCUUGGAUUUAUGAAAGACUAACUUCUGCGAAAGCAUUUGCCAAGGAUGUUUUCAUUGAUCAAGAACGAAAGUUAGGGGAUCGAAGACGAUCAGAUACCGUCGUAGUCUUAACCAUAAACUAUGCCAGCUCCGGAGNGGUCGG
rnacentral:rRNA from 1 species